ACGGAAGGCAGCAGUGGGGUAUAUUGCACAAUGGGGGAAACCCUGAUGCAGCGACGCCGCGUGAGUGAAGAAGUAUUUCGGUAUGUAAAGCUCUAUCAGCAGGAAAGAUAAUGACGGUACCUGACUAAGAAGCACCGGCUAAAUACGUGCCAGCAGCCGCGGUAAUACGUAUGGGGCAAGCGUUAUCCGGAUUUACUGGGUGUAAAGGGCGUGUAGGCGGGACAUCAAGUCAGAUGUGAAAGCACGAGGCUCAACUUCGUGUCUGCAUUUGAAACUGACGUUCUUGAGUGUUGGAGAGGCUAACGGAACUCCUAGUGUAGCGGUGAAAUGCGUAGAUAUUAGGAAGAACACCAGUGGCGAAGGCGGUUAGCUAGACAAUAACUGACGCUGAGGCGCGAAAGCGUGGGUAGCAAACAGGAUUAGAUACCCUGGUA
rnacentral:rRNA from 1 species